GUCAAACCAACAGGCUCAAGAUUCAGAAUGAAUAUCCACCAUGUUCUGUUCUUCUGUGUCUUAUCAGCAGGACUAUUUGACAAAAAUACUCAUCUCAUCAACGCACAAACAAACCUUUAUACAAAAGUGGAAGGCGAAGACUUCAGAAUUGAACUUGACCAUGAAGUGCCUGCAGGAAGUAGAAAAUAUAUCUGCAGGAAUGAUACUGAAAAGGAAGACAUCCUCAUUGAAACUACUGAAAACAGAGCUGAGAGUGGCAGAUACAUAAUACGAUAUGACAUAAGUGACAAGAGAGUGCAUGCAGUCAUCAAAGAGCUGACCCAGUCUGACUCUGGACGGUACAAAAUUGGUGUGAGCAAUUCUUCAUCCCUGAAUUUAUUUCAGGUAGUAGAGCUCAAAGUUAGAGAACUCUGUGAAGAAGAUAUCACCAAUGGUAAACCCAAAGUCUACAGUGCUACUGUGGGAGGGGAGGUUACAAUCAGAUGCCUCUUGCCUUUACAUUCACGAAACAUAAAGUUCCUCUGUAAAGAUGAAUGUAAAACAACGAUCAUCAACACAAAUAAUCUCACAAUUAUGAAUGGCAGACAUGAAAUUGAGUAUUGGAGUAACACGGUGUUUAACGUGACCAUCACAAACCUAAUCAAGUCGGACUCUGGGCGGUACAAGUGUGGCGUGCGAAAAAAAGAUGCAAAAAAUACAUGCCUGGAAUUUGAGAUCUCAGUAACAGAUGCUGCAGUCCCAGGAGUGUUAAAAGUGAGAUCAUGCAAUGAACAAGUAUGAAAACAAGAAUUAAAACCAGCAGGAAUGAAGUUUGUAAGAGUCAGUGUUUAUACAACUACUACUUUGGAUCUUAUUAAGCAGACUCCAAUCCUGCUUCAUCAUACAGACCUUGAAGGUGUACUAUAUGAGAGAAAAUUACAAGCUAAUUUGCCCGAGGUCAUCUGCAAUUCUCAUGUGCAAAUGGUUUAAUUUGUUCAAUCGUUCCCACUCUCCCCCGCCUCUCAAUCAGGUAACAUCCUGCUGCUGGCUGUAUGCGUGACUGUGGUUGUGGUGCUACUCGCUGUUUUUGUUCUGCUCUUCUACAAACUGAAGAUAAAGCGUAAGCGUGUUCAGUAUGUGAACACGAGAGGUAAUGGAAGAAAUAUGGAGGUUGCUGUCUAUGAUGAUGUUGCUGAAGUCUACCAAAGUGCCACUGACGGGUCAACAUACCAGGAGCUCAGCAGCAGGGAAGAAGCGCUGUACUCUUUAUUUGAGCCUCCACCAAAUGCAAAUCUGCACUGAUAAUCAAUAGGUUAUGUUUGGGGGGGUUUCUUUCUGGUAGAAUGUGUCUUUUCCUUUUCCUCACAUUGUUUAUAAAUUUAGUUAGAAAAGAAGAAGAAAGGCAAAAGGUGUGGAUUUACUUUGGUAAAUCUUUUAUUCAGUUAAAAGUAAGUGUUACCUGGUUAGUUAUGGAGUAUUCAGUAAAGAUGUAGUAGUUUCUCGUGGUAUUUUUGCUGCAUGUGACAAUAAAGCUUAAACAGUACGAACAAUUUGGAGAG
ensembl:lncRNA